rnacentral:lncRNA from 1 species
GGGAGGCUCUCUCAGCCUCCUGGGGGUACCUGCAGCAGGUGAGGUGGGCAGAGACUUUGGCUCGUGCUGUAAAUAACAACAACAGUGGAACUGUAGCAGCACUCUGGGAAAAUCCAGUUAUGUAGAACACACCUGGGACAUGAAUUCACUCCAGGAGUCUGUAUUUUGUGGUUUAUGUGUCCCAGGCAGUGGGGAGCUAGAGGGCAUUUGGUUCUGCAAGAUGUUUAACCAGAUCUGAAAGGCUCACCAUGGCUGCACAAGGGUGCAAGUUUAGGAAGAGGGGACAUCCCACUGCAGGCAGGUGGAAGGGAGUUCCAGGUACAGCUCUCCUGUGUUCUAAUGGCAUGUUCAGACCCCAAAGUAGCCUCAUCUAAAUAUUAAUAUUCAAAUAACAGUCACCACAAAUCUGUUUGUUCUUGCCACAGAUUUCAGAAAAAUUGCUGCUUGUCUUUCCUCUCCCACGAGGCUGAAUCCCAGCACCCCAGAUUGUCGUGACUGCCUGGGAUUGGUGACAUCUCCAGUGAAACGUGUUGGAGCAUCAAAACAGAGUGGGAGAAGCACAGCCUGGCUCCGGGAGCCAAAAAUAGUGUUCCUCUGGCUUUGAAUUCUCUCUGCAGUCUCACUUGCCCUGGCACAGGAGAAAACGUGAUGGUGUGUGCAGAACAGAAGCACUGGGACUCAGGAGAAGUGAAAGGUGGCCCUGCUGGCUCUACCUCCAACACCUCUCUGUGGUUCUGCUUCCUGACUUCCUGUCAGGAUAACCUGGACUGAAAGCUCUCCACGCUUUUUCUGUGCAAUCCUACAAUGUCUAACACAACCUCGGACUCUGUCAGCCUGGGACUCAGGGAGCUCCACCCUCUUCUCAGCAGUCCCAGGGAUCUCACCUCAGUGAUUACAAGGUCUGCCUGCAUUUGUGACCCUCCCUGAUUCCAGUGAGGAGCUGGAACUGCCUUUGGCCUCAGGAAUGACAGAAGUAUAUGCCGGGGUUGGAGGGUUUCUGCCAUAUGACCUGCUAACCUAGAAUUUGCUCAGCAAAGUCCAGAGGGUGACUUUUAACCUCAGAGUGGUUUGCAAAGCCACAUCUGUGACCAAUAAAUGUGAAAAAUAAAUGAAAGGAAAAAAAAAU